ACAUAUAGUCAAACCCCUGAGAACUAGUUAGUCCAUAAUAAGAGUGAUUGGUUUCAAAGUAGGUCGGUUAAUGUUCAAAAACUCAAGGUCAGUUCCUAGUCUGUGGAAUUGAGAACCAACCCACUCAAUCAAUAAGGAUUUUUUUUCUUCUUUUUGGUUUCUUCUAUUCCUUACAAGUGGGAUUUUCCCAACAUUAAAAGAAAGAAAAAUUACUAAUUUGAGCUUACUUCAAAGUAAAAAUGUAAAAAAUAUUUAGGCUCCAUUCGUUUCAUGGAAAAUAACUUCUAAAAAAACGUUUUCCGAAUUUUCUAAUGAUCGUUUCACAAAAAAUGAAUUAGUCACGGAAAAUGUUUUCUACUAUAAGAAAAAACACCUUUAAAAGUGGGCGAAAUAUUUUUCACUUUUGAAAAAUGAAAAACAUUUUACAUAACUUAUUCCACCUCAUUUUCUUUCACUAAACACAUUUUCAUUUCAUUUUUAUAUUUUCUUUUUCUUUUUUUAAAAAUUCAGUUUUAGUUUUUUUCUUUACUUUCUUUCCUUUCUCUUCUUCUUCUUAGGCCUUGGCCGAUCGCCGGCCACGGUGGUAGCUAGCAACCAACCAUUGGCGAGCUCGGCUUCAAUUGGCCAUAAGCUAGGUCAGUGAGGCUCGAGCUUGAUCUGACUACCGCCAUGGCCAGCCACUAGCCUAGGUUGAAAAGGAAGAGAAAAAAAUUAAAAUUUAAAAAAAAAUGAAAAAUGAGUGUAUGCAAGAAAAGAUAAUAUUUUCUAGUUCAUUUUCAAAUUUCUGCCAAACAUUAAAAAAAUUGGUUAUUUUCCUGAAAAAUGGUUUCUUGGAGAACCAUUUCUAGAAAUAGUAUAUUUUUCGGGAAACGAAAGGAACCUGAAAUUUUUUUGCAAAUUCUUUAGUCCGGUUCCAUAUAAGGAAUCGGAGAUCUGGCCUCAAACUAGUCCGUUUGGUCCGGUCCGGCUCGCUUGCUGGAUUGAACCGGGACGGACGCAGCCGCCCCUAGUCUGUAAAUACUCUUUCCAAUUUUUCCUUUUUCAUUUUUAUUCUUCCCAGCUUCCGUUGACCGACGGGAGGGGGCAGGCCUCUGGGGAAAGUGGCAACAUCGCAAAUAACGCGAGAACGGAGGGCCGAUGCCCAAGGGGGGGGCCCCUCCUCGUGGUAGACAUCACGC
rnacentral:lncRNA from 1 species